GACGUAGGGCGCGAGCGUUGUCCGGAUUUAUUGGGCGUAAAGAGCUCGUAGGCGGCUUGUCGCGUCGACCGUGAAAACUUGGGGCUCAACCCCAAGCCUGCGGUCGAUACGGGCAGGCUAGAGUUCGGUAGGGGAGACUGGAAUUCCUGGUGUAGCGGUGAAAUGCGCAGAUAUCAGGAGGAGCACCGGUGGCGAAGGCGGGUCUCUGGGCCGAUACUGACGCUGAGGAGCGAAAGCGUGGGGAGCGAACAGG
rnacentral:rRNA from 1 species